AAUAUUGGACAAUGGGGGCAACCCUGAUCCAGCCAUGCCGCGUGUGUGAAGAAGGNUUNNGGAUUNUNAAGCACUUUAAGUAGNNNNNAAGGGCUUUAGGCUAAUACCCUGAAGUUGUGACGUUACCAACAGAAAAAGCACCGGCUCACUUAGUCCCAGCAGCCGCGGUAAUACAGAGGGUGCAAGCGUUAAUCGGAAUUAAUGGGCGUAAAGCGCGCGUAGGUGGUUCAGUAAGAUGGGUGUGAAAUCCCCGGGCUUAACCUGGGAACUGCUUUCAUAACUGCUGAGCUAGAGUACGGUAGAGGGUAGUGGAAUUUCCUGUGUAGCGGUGAAAUGCGUAGAUAUAGGAAGGGACACCAGUGGCGAAGGCGACUACCUGGACUGAUACUGACACUGAGGUGCGAAAGCGUGGGGAGCAAACA
rnacentral:rRNA from 1 species